CAUUCUCUGCGUCUCUCUUCGGCGGCAUUGGAGUAACUCGAAACCCGAGACUCAGUCAGAUUUAUCAUCAAAGGUACAUUUCUAACAUUUCAAAUUACUGAAUCAAUCUGAUACAUUACACAAAUGAAUUUGCGUUUUGUGAGAAAUUAUUAUAACAUAUCACAACUUGAGAGUUUUGUGAGGGAUGAGUGUAAAUCUGGAAGGAUACAGAAGCUUGAUGAUGGUUUGAGAUACUUUGAUCAGUUGAUUAGGGAAAAGCCAUUACCGUCUAAUUAUACAUUUAAUCAUGUAUUUGGUUCGUUAUCGAAAAUCAAAUGCUAUUCAGAUGUGAUUCUGUUGUAUAAGAAGAUGAGUUUGGUUGGAGUAAAACCUAGUAUUUAUACAUUUAGCAUUUUGAUUAAUUGCUGUUGUUAAUUAGGAAAAAUUGAUUAUGGGUUUUGUUUGUUUGGGGAGAUGUUGAAGAGAGGUCAUCAUCCUGAUAGGGUUACUUUCACUACAUUGAUUAAAGGGUUGUGUCUACUAGAAAAGAUUGAUUUUGCAUUCAAACUGUUUGGUAAAAUGACUGAGUCAGGGAUUCAACCUGAUGCUAUUGCUUGUAAUACUCUUAUAUCCGGGCUUUGUAGCAUCGUUAAAGUGGAAUUAGCUCUUCAGAUAAGAAACAAGAUGGGGAAUUGGAACUGCAGCCCUACGGUUGUUUCAUAUUCUGCGAUUAUAGAUACGCUUUGCAAAGAAGAAUUAGUUGAUGAUGCUUUGGCUCUCUUCUCUGAUAUGCUCAAAGAUUCGAAUGUUGUACCUCAUGUAGUUGUUUACACUUCUUUGAUCGAUGGGCUUUGCAGUUCAGGCCGGUUGGAUGAGGCAAAGAGAAUCUUUGACGAGAUGGUAAGUAGAGGAAUCUUAGGAAAUGUAACGACAUAUAGUUGCAUUCAUGGGCACUGCAUACAUGGUAAAUGGGAAGAAGCAAGAAGAUUUUUUAAUGAAAUGUUGGAUAAAGGGAUUUUACCCAAUGCUAUAACCUUUACUAUAUGGAUAGAUGCACUUUGUAAAGAUGGGAAGACUGAAGAUGCUGUGGGGUUAUUUAAAUACAUGGAAAAGAUAAAUAUAGAACCUGAUCUGAUUACUUAUAAUUCAAUGAUCAACGGUCCAUGUUUGGCAGGUCGGUUGCAAGAUGCGGUGGAACUAUUUGACUUGAUGGUGGAUAGGGGCCUUGAACCGAAUGUUGUCAGUUGCACUACAUUAAUUGAUGGUAUUGCAGGAAUCGUAAGCUGGAUGAAGCUAUGCAACUAUUCGAGAAAAUGAAACAAAACGGGGUGAAACCCACAUCAGUUACUUACGGUAUACUCUUAGCAGGGUUAUACCGAGAUGGAAGAAUAAAGACCGCAGAAAGUUUCUUAUGUGAGAUGCAGUCUCGUGGUCAUUACCCAAAUAAAAUUACACCCUGUACAGUUAUGGAUGGACUCUGUAAGGAUAGAGAAAUUGAGGAAGCAGUAGAAUUGUUUGGAUCCAUGGAUGGUACAGAUAUCUCAGUAAGUAGAAACUAGCAGCCACCAACCAGCACUGCCUUUCUAAGGGGUUACACUCUGUCGAAGCAGGCACAAAAAGAGUGGACAAAUCUGCUGUAUGGAAGCUCGAUCUGCAAGGUUUGGCAUGUUUCUGGAGCUGUUCACGCCUUAAAGGAGCCCCUAAGGAUGGAGACUCAGAUCCCACUCAUUCUAUGAGUACCAAUAGUUUGGUUGGACCAAAACCUGGAACUUCUAUUGAUUUUAUUAGUGGCUUCAGCGCGGCGAAAAAGACUGGCUGAGCAGGAAAUAACUUUGCAAAGCCCUGAAGUAUGUCAUGUUAUAACGUAUAACAGGGAGGUGGGUGCUGUACAGUUUGCAGGCGCUAUCCGGGCCCGCCUGAGUUUAUUUUGUAAAUUUAACAGCCCCUCAAAGCUGUUAUCGGAUUUAUGCUGUUUUUUAUGCUCAGAAGUUAUCGGAUUUAUGCUGUUUUUUAUGCUCAGAAGUUUCUUUAAACCCCAAGGAAGUUUAGAAGAGAAAAGCUAAAAACUCAAAGGGCAUUCUUUCUAUAAGUUCUCGAUCCCAUUUUCUUUUAAAGAGUAAAAAAAUAUAACUCUUCUAGUGCUUAUUAGUAGCUCUGUUUUAUUAACAUAGGAGAAUUUAUGAUGUGGAUCACCCUCGCCAAUUAUAUGAUGCUCCAGUAUCUAAGAGUAAGAAUACAAGUAAUGGAUUUAUGUAUCUGUGAUCUUCUCUGUCUUGGUUAACUAAUAUGCACCUUAAGUUGUCCCAGAAAUAUAUCUUGUCACCAGUUCUAUUCCUGUAUGUUUUUCCAACUGUUACUUUUAACAUAAGGCUGAUGGAUACGAGAAUGGCCAAAAUAUAUUUGCUUUGUCUCUGUUUCUUUAGAAUUUACCAGGUACAACUUCUUCAUUGUAUUAUUGCUAGUGGUUGUUUGAAACUAUUCUUGAUUCAUGCACUGCCUAUACCGGACUAGGAAAACUUCGUAAUCCACUUCGCUUGUCUUAAUUCAUAGAUACUUCUCAAUGUUCACCACAUGGUUUCGCAAGUCUCACCGAGCCCCAGGAUGUUUUCCUUGAUUCUUCUUCAUCCACAACAGAAGCUCCAGAAUGAUUCUACCCGCUCAUAUUCUGCACUCUAGACUCCUUUCAGUUUCGCCGCUGUUUGCUUCAUCUGUUCAUCCUACUGUGAAGCAAAUGAUCCUGUGACGAUCAGAUAUCAAUCGCCCCAAAGAUUCUCCCGUCGUAAGAAGAGAUCUCCUUCCGAGCUGGUUCGGCACUUCCACCAUGUAAUUGGUCUGCUAUAAGAUGCGUCAGUUCCAAGGUUCAUGAGGUCGAUCUAUUGUGCACUCGGCUUUCACUACAGCUUCCAUUUUCAAGCCACCUUGGGUAACUCAGAGCUCUGAAGCGUUUCUGUCAGCUACUUUUGUCCUCGCAGGCCCUCGUCUUGCAAAUAUAUGGAAUUUGGAGAAUUUAUAGUCUGUAAAUUAGGGUGGUAAUAUUCUACUUCCGUCUUUGUCCAACCUUAAAAUGCUCAGAGAACUUGGUAACCUCAUCGAACUGUCAGUACACUGCAACCGCAUCGAACUUCAGCUACUUGAUGAGAACUGUUUCACUGGCCGCUUACCUUCCACGGUUGGAGAACUUUGAAACCUCAUUGCACUGUCAAUACACGGCAACUCAUUUUCUGGGAAUCUUCAAUAUUUCUUCUCUGAGAAUUUGCCUCCAAGCAUCCAAAAUCUUACAAGGCUUUUAUACCUGGAUGCUAGUCUGAACAAAUUCACUGGAGUAAUUCCUCGAGCUCGGUUGUUUGGUACUACUCAAAAAAUCCGGAUCAUAGAACUUACUGAAAGGACCUAUCACCUGUAAUACCUUUGGAAAUAGGAAGAAUGUCUGUUAUACAACCUCUGAUACUGGGGACCUAUCAUCUCCUUUAUUUCUGUUCUUUUGUUAAGAGCAUAGACUGUGAUUGUCAUUGUAUCACAAACUCUGUCUUCUGUGUAGAAGAAGAAAACGUAAAUUUCGAACAAAAGAA